rnacentral:misc_RNA from 1 species
GGGCAUCUUAAAAUUAAAGCUUAGAAUAGAAAAAACGUUAUCAAUAAAGCAUUCAAGUAGCGAGACCAAUAUGAAGUUGGUGAACCUCUAAUAUAUUUUACUGGUCCCAGCCAGUGUGAAAUUACCCUCUAGGCAAGCUUAUGAGUUCUGACUCUUUGCAACCUACAAUCUGUGAGAGGAUAAAAUUAGCAGGAUUCACUAAACUCCAGACUGUUCUCCCCUUAAAGACUCUGCUAAUCUCUUUGAGAGACAGAAAGCAGUGGACUGGACAGUGAUC